ACUCCUACGGGAGGCAGCAGUGGGAAUAUUGCACAAUGGGGAACCCAUGAUGCAGCCAUGCCGCGUGUGUGAAGAAGGCCUUCGGGUUGUAAAGCACUUUCAGUAGGAGGAAGGUAGUGUAGUUAACACCUGCAUUAUUUGACGUUACCUACAGAAGAAGCACCGGCUAACUCCGUGCCAGCAGCCGCGGUAAUACGGAGGGUGCGAGCGUUAAUCGGAAUUACUGGGCGUAAAGCGCAUGCAGGC
rnacentral:rRNA from 1 species